rnacentral:rRNA from 1 species
UAUGGUUGUGCCAGCCGCCGCGGUAAUACGUAUGGAGCAAGCGUUAUCCGGAUUUACUGGGUGUAAAGGGAGUGUAGGUGGCCAGGCAAGUCAGAAGUGAAAGCCCGGGGCUCAACCCCGGGACUGCUUUUGAAACUGCAGGGCUAGAGUGCAGGAGGGGCAAGUGGAAUUCCUAGUGUAGCGGUGAAAUGCGUAGAUAUUAGGAGGAACACCAGUGGCGAAGGCGGCUUGCUGGACUGUAACUGACACUGAGGCUCGAAAGCGUGGGGAGCAAACAGG